rnacentral:rRNA from 1 species
GACGAACGCUGGCGGCGUGCUUAACACAUGCAAGUCGAACGGAAAGGCCCUGCUUUUGUGGGGUGCUCGAGUGGCGAACGGGUGAGUAACACGUGAGUAACCUGCCCUUGACUUUGGGAUAACUUCAGGAAACUGGGGCUAAUACCGGAUAGGAGCUCCUGCUGCAUGGUGGGGGUUGGAAAGUUUCGGCGGUUGGGGAUGGACUCGCGGCUUAUCAGCUUGUUGGUGGGGUAGUGGCUUACCAAGGCUUUGACGGGUAGCCGGCCUGAGAGGGUGACCGGCCACAUUGGGACGGGGAUACGGCCCAGACUCCUACGGGAGCCAGCAGUGGGGAAUAUUGGACAAUGGGCGCAAGCCUGAUCCAGCCAUACCGCGUGGGGGAAGAAGGCCUUCGGGUUGUAAAGCCCGUUUGUUGGGAAAGAAAAGCAGCAGGUUAAUACCCCGCUGUUCUGACGGUACCCAAAGAAUAAGCACCGGCUAACUUCGUG